UGGACCUGGCCAGGGCAGCAGGAAGUGAAGGCACUCCCAGGCCAUUGCUGUCCCCAGGGUGACCAGGCCACAAUGGCCACCUUAAGAAGAGAGGAUAAUAAGCUCAUUAGGGCUGGAGGAGGCCAGCUGCACACAAUUAGGAUGUUCAUAAAGUCUUCUGAAGUCACAGCUCAGUCCAAGACCAAACAGCUGGUGGGGCCUGCUCCUUCCCUCACUCGACCCCCACCCUCACUAGCUUCUUCACGAGGCCUUCCCUGACCCUCCCCUUCCGAGCUCUGCUGAAGCCAGGGCUCAGCCUAUGGGUGGAUGUUCUUUGGCUCCCUCUUUCCAAGAUGGGUCUCAGGACAGGCCUCGGCUUCACCACAUACUGACUAGGUAACCUGGGGCAGAUAGAAAGAGACAGAGAGACCAUGGUACACCAAAGCUUCCUCCAGUAUAGUGGGAACCAAACUCAAACCUGGAUCACCCACAUGAUAAAGCUGCCUCACUGUCCAGCUGCCAAGCUGCAGAUGCUACCAUGACACCAACCUGACAUCCCUGGGCAGAUGACCUCACCAAUGUGUCCAGGAACCCCACCUCCCCAGAGCUCUGCCCUCACUAUGGAAAGAGAGAAAUAGGCUGGGGUAUGGAUCGACCUGUCAACACUCAUAUCCAGUGGAGAAGUGAUUACAGAAGUCAGACCUCCUACCUUCAGCACCACAUAAAUAUCUUUGGUCCAUACUCCCAGACGGAUAAAUAGGGAAGCUUCCACUGGAGGGGAGGGGAUAAAGAACUCUGGUGAUGGGAAUUGUAUAGAAUUGUACCCCUCUUAUCCCACAAUCUUGUUAUCAUUAUUAAAUCACUAAUAAAAAAAAGUCACCCUGUGACACUGGGCAAGUAAGUGGCUUUGCUUUCCCAGUAGACCUUUGUUCUUUGGGGCACAGGAGCUCAUGGUGUGGAAGGUGGAGGAAACAGAGCUGGGCCCUGUUCCUGAAGACACUGUGGGUGGAGGGCAUAUGUCUAUACGCCAUACACUUCCCUAUAUGCAUUUGUGUGUGUCUUUCUGGCUCAUGCUGCUGGGAGCCCCCUUCUCUUCUGUUCCUAGUUCACUCUGUUCAGAAGCCUUCUCUGACCAGCCAACCCAGGCCCCUCAUCUCUGCAUCCAGUGGUAUUCGGGGAAAGCCAUGGCUUUCAGUGCCACCCUCUAGUCCCCUCUCCGACACUGCUUCCUACCUGGCACAGGGUGGGAGAGUCCUAGAAGGUCAUGGCAAGACCUGAUAUCCUUGAACAAAGGGGAAGGCAGUGUGGGCUGGGCCCACAAUGGCCCAGCUUCUGCCCUCACACCCCAAGUCCUGUUCACCAGGACCCUGGUGAGUAGAUUUCUGGGAAGAUGAGUACUCACUCUCCCAGGCACCCCAGCUCUGGCCUGUGGAGCUGGCUGAGCUGGACAUGGGAACCCUCUUCUGCAGGGGAACGGAGUCAGGGGGCUUUCCUCCCUGCUCCCUGCUUCAUGCUCUCUCUGUUUCAAUCUUGGGCUUGUCUUCCACCCCAGCUGGGACCUUGGCACAGCUGCUCCCUUUCUCCCCCUGGCCUGGGGAAUAGCACACAACUAAGCAAAACCCACAAGAACAGUAACUCAGAACAUCCGCUUUCCAAAUGUUCUGCACGUACCGGAAGCCCUCACCUCACCCCUUAGCUGUCCAGCUUUGGGACAGUCACUUCAUUUCCACCUUGGAAAAAGAAUGCCACCAUCUGCCCUUCCUCUUACCACAAAAUGCUUCACAAACUGCAUGGCUGUGUAUCUUGUAAAACGUAAAGUAUGCUGAUCCAGAGAGAGUGUGUGUCUCUGAGAAAAAGAAAAAGGUCUAAAAUUCCCUACUUGCUGGCAAGAGCAGAUAUUUCCAGGUGGCCCUGACAUCUCCAAGAACUCCCCUCCCCCCAGCAAAAGUCUAAGAGAACAGACCUGGCAUGCAGGCUUGUGGCCACUGUGUAUAGAAUCUUCCUUCAGAGAGAAAGUUCCAGAACACAGUGGUCUGAGGGUGCCUGCAGCAAUACUGACAGGCUAGAUAUAACAUGAGUGAGGGCAUCUCUAUCACACACUCCCAAACACGAUUGUGGUUCCGUUUUUAUGGCUGAGGCUUGGCAAACUCGAACCCGAGUCUGACUUCCUCUCACUGUGGUGCUUAGACUACAGCCCUGAGCAAUGAAGGGAUUGCAGCAGAAGCCCAGACAUGGCGGCCUGGCUGAGGAGGGGAGGGUGGAGCUGGGGUGACACCUCCCGCAUCACAUCAUGCAGCAUGCAUGUUCUCAAGAGUUG